GAUUAAGCUAAUAAGGGCAUAGGGAGGAUGCCUUGGCACCAAGCGCCGAAGAAGGACGUGACAAGCUGCGAAAAGCCACGGGGAGUUGCAAAUGAACAUUGAUCCGUGGAUAUCCGAAUGAGGGAACUCAACAGCGGUAAUGCGCUGUUAACUAUACAUGAAUACAUAGUGUAUAGUGGGGAACCCGGGGAACUGAAACAUCUAAGUACCCGGAGGAAGAGAAAGAAAACAAUCGAUUUCCUAAGUAGUGGUGAGCGAACGGGAAAGAGCCUAAACCUUUGGAUAGCAAUAUUUGAAGGGGUGACGGACUCACAUAAUCAAUUAUCAAACAUAGCCGAACACAGUUGGAAAGCUGGACGAAAGAGAGUAACAGUCUCGUAAGCGAAAUGGUUGGUAUAGUGGUGAGUAUCCAGAGUACCACGGGACACGUGGAAUCCGGUGGGAAUAUAGGAGGACCAUCUCCUAAGGCUAAAUACGACUUGGUGACCGAUAGAGUAUAGUACCGUGAGGGAAAGGUGAAAAGAACCCCGGGAGGGGAGUGAAAGAGAACCUGAAACCCUAUGCUUACAAGCAGAUACAGCACUACUAGAAAGUGUGGUAUCGUACUUUUUGUAGAACGGGCCGGCGAGUUACGUUGUGUAGCGAGGUUAAGUAAUUAAGUUACGGAGCCGAAGCGAAAGCGAGUCUUAACUGGCGACAUAGUUGCAUGACGUAGACCCGAAACCAGAUGACCUAUUCAUGGACAGGUUGAAGCAGUGGUAAGACACUGUGGAGGACCGAACCCACGUUCGUUGAAAAGACCGGGGAUGAGCUGUGAAUAGCGGAGAAAUUCCAAUCGAAUCUGGAUAUAGCUGGUUCUCCUCGAAAUAGCUUUAGGGCUAGCCUCUUGUUAGAGUACCGAAGGUAGAGCACUGAAUGGGCUAGGGGGUUUCACAACUUACUGAACCUUAUCAAACUUCGAAUGAAGGAUACUCGAUGCAAGGGAGUCAGACAGUGGGAGAUAAGUUUCAUUGUCGAAAGGGAAAAAGCCCAGAUCCACAGCUAAGGUCCCAAAGUAUAGAUUAAGUGGUAAAGGAUGUUUUGUUGCUAAAACAACCAGGAUGUUGGCUUAGAAGCAGCCACUCAUUCAAAGAGUGCGUAAUAGCUCACUGGUCGAGUGACAGAGCGCCGAAGAUUACCGGGGCUAAAAUCUAACACCGAAGCUUGGGAAUGCGCGAAGCGCAUUGGUAGGGGAGCAAUGUAUAAGGGCAGAAGCCGUAUCGAAAGGGGCG
rnacentral:ncRNA from 1 species